UGACAGGGAAUGCUAUGCUUAUGCUUCUUGUGUGCAACCUGUGUGUACAUACUGUGGCAAUACAAAUAUCUGUGCAAAGCAUCUCCAAGGAUAACUGUGAGCACAUAACCCCUCUCUGAUGGUCUGCUUCUCAUGGAACAACACCAAAAAACAUUUCUUCUGCAACGAUCUUCUGGAAACUUUGUUUGAUGAAUGCAUUCUGAUGCAGCCCUAAUGAUAGGACCUAAACAGUUCAUCAUAUAUUGGCAUCAGAAUUGAGUUUUAUUUCUCUUCACCUGGUUUUGUUUGAUGUCUGUGAAAGAGGAAGAGGACAUAAAAUACCACGCCAUCUCUGCAUAGAGAAUUGUUAUUAUGGAUGUAGGAACUCUAGGAUAGGAGGGUAGUAGCAUCUGGCAUUCUGUGUGUGUGUGUGUGUGUGUGUGUGUGUGUGUGUGUGUGUGUGUGUGUGUGUGUGUGUGUUUCUGAGUGCUUGAUGCAACAGGAGCUUUUACAACCACAUGACGGCGGCUGUACUCAAGUCAGCUUUACUUCUCAGUACUCAGUGCUGCCGUCUGAACGUUUUCCAAACAUAUGGGAAUAGGACACAAAUAACUAUUCUUUGACAGAUGGGUAGAACUUUACCACCGACUCUUAAAACUGCUUCAGGAAACUGGGAGAAGAAAACAAACAACAGCAACAACAAAAAUACUUCCGCCUGUGUUUAAAAGGAAAAGGAGAGACACCUAAUUUAAGGCUGCAUAAAGGCUCCCUGCAACAGACUUUGGAGUGAGGUCUUCGACCCAAGUGCAGAGUUGUAUUCUUUUACUAUUUUUUAGUUCCAGACUAGGCAGCCAUCUAUAACAGAGCUAGUGAUGGUAGAGGAAGAAAGAAUGGUCUGUUAAGUGGCAGCCCUUAAGCUACAUGCUUUUAGUAAGGCUGGAAGAGUCUACAGUUCAAGAGAACCUGCAAAAGUUGAAAGACUGAGAAGAUUUUAUCUUGUGACAUCAGUAAAUGUAAUGUCAUCUUUUUCCUCCCUUCUUUCUGAUGCUUUAACUUUUACUAAAGGUUGGACUGGAGUUGAUAGUCAUCUUUUUACCCACACUGGUAGAUGCUUUUGAAUUGUUCUGGAAGAGUAUUAAGAACACUUGUUUAUAUAUGUAUGUUUUCAAUGUAUGUUAGCCUCUACCUCUGUCAUAAUUCUUAAAUCAGACUGGACCCAUGACAGUAUUUUGCCUGCCUGAACACUCUCACUUUUCUGUUUUCACCUUUCUCUGAUAUCUCCUGCCCAUUUGUGAGGCACACUCUUACUUGAAAUUCUUACUGAAGAUGGGAGCAUAUCCUAAGCAUGAACGUUUUUUAAAUGACAUACCUUGGAAGAAAACCUGAAAAUCACACAGAGUGCAGUGUAAAGCCCAGAACACAAUUUAGUAGUGACUUUUAUCGGAAAGCUGACAUUGACCAUACCAUACUGAUUAGUACAUGCUCCCUGCAUAUCUUAAAGACAUUUCAAAGGCUGGAAUUUCACAGAUCUUUGGUAAUUGCCUACCUCUUGUCCAGCUGAUUCAAUGUCUGCAGAAUUAAUUUAUUUUCAGAGUUUGAAAUAUUUUAUCUAUAUCCCUCCUACUUGCUUGUAUUUCCACACGCCAAGGUGGACAGAAAUACUUUCUGCACUGUCUUUGAAAAUAAGCUUUUCAGUUGUUCAAAUUCUGUGCUGCAAAAUAAGAACUGGGAGAUAUAUGGUUGUAUGCAUGUGUACUUGUGUGGAACAUAUUUAACUGAUGAACACUGGGCAAAAAAAUGUGAGAGCUGGGCAGAUCUUACUCAGUGUUUCCUUUGGAGCUCAUUGCUUGGUUGCUAGGGUUUUUAUUGUUGUUGAUAACAUCACAAGUUCGGGUCUUCUUUGCUCUUUCUUUACCUCUAAGAUGCACUGGAUAGCUGAAGUCCUGCUGAGACCACAUCUGAAAUCAGACCUAAAGAGUCUUUGUUCAGCUGAGAACUUUACUGUCUCCCCCAGAGGACUGCACACAGCAUGGAGGAAAGCCUGUUCUCAUUGCACAAUGCCAACUUUUUCAAGUCGUGUUCUGAGGAUGUUCUGAUGCACAAAGUAAUUUCCAAGCUGUCUUCCACUGAAAUCAGAAAGCUAUGACCUUGCACUCCUGAACUCUUUUACUGAAAUUAAAAGCAUCAGAAAGAGGGGGAAAAAAAAGCCCAAACAUCAAAUCUUUUUCUCCCCUCUUUUGUGGAGUUGUCAUGCCUCAGUUGUAAAUUAAAAUUGUAGGACUUUUGAUGAGAAUGGAGCAUUUGGCUGCCUCAUUUCGUGCUAGAUCAGGAACAGCAAAGGAGAGCACUCGCUUUGCAUGGAUAGGGAUGGGGGCUGCUGCCCAGAAAUCUGCCAGUUCUCUUCUGCCUGUGCAGCCCGGUCCUUGGGCCCCUUUCAUCUCAGCCCCUGCUGCAUGGUAACACCUGCUCUGGAGCUACACAGGGAGCGGAGCCGAUAAAGGUGGUGUUUUGCAGACCUGAGUGUGCUGGAGCGCCUUAGCUUUUUGGAUGGCCCUGCUUUCUCUGGCCCGGAUCCAAUACACCACUUAGACAUCUGCUUAACUUUAAGCAUGUGAGUAUCCCCUUUGAAGUCCUGUGUAUAUUGUUUUGGUGGACUGAGGUCAAUGAGCUCAGUACCUUGCAGGAUUGAGCUCCUGAAUGUCAGAUUUGAUUAAAUGCUCCCCCUCCACCCCCUCCUCUCCUACCAUGAAAGCCUGAUCAGAGCUGAAACAGCCUCAGAAAGAAAAAGGCAGCUGGUGGGAAAUGACUCUGGCUCAGCUGUGGUAGCUUGGUCUUAAAUUGUUGCAGAUCUAAACCGAAAGAAAAGCAGAGCAAAAAGUCAGAGCAGAGAUCUGAUCAAAAAAUGAAACCAUCUCCACUUCUACGAGGGGGCUGUGAGGUCUCAAACAGGAGCAGCUAC
ensembl:lncRNA